rnacentral:lncRNA from 1 species
AAAAGGGAAGUCAUCUUCCGUUGGUCUAUGGGGACACUGAGGUAGUAGGAGCUCGGUGAUAAUUCUAGGGACCACCCUGGGUUGUCAGGUGGGGGAGACAGAGAAGCCCACACUCCACAGCCUGAGGUAGGAACUGGGAAUCCGGUGUUUAAAACUCUCUAGGGGCGGUGAUUUCAGAAAAACUGCUGGCUCCAUCACACUUUGCUCAGGGACUGAGGUGGGAUGGCAUUUGGAAGACACAGUAAUUAGCUCCGAGGACUACAAAGGGAACAACGUUAUAAUAGCAGCAACUCCAAGGAAGCAGCCACAGCUCUCGGCUCUCAGACCUGGGGCUGCCGCUCAUCAUCAGCUACAGC